UCAGUCCAGCUUCCCCGCUGCCUCUCCAUCCCCUCCCCCUGAAAUCCUAGCUGCCAUCUCUUGUCAGACCACAGGCCACCUGGGAAGAGCUUCCCGGCUUCCUGCUGCUGUUUCUUCCAUCUGGACAUUUCUGACAGCAGCCAGGCUGUUGUGCUGGAGGGAAAGGGGGGUGGGCGGCGCCGGGUCCUACUGGGGUUUGUUGUGAAGUGCCCAGAGGGCUGUUCCCAGAUCCAGCUCUGUCUCCAGCUCAAUGGUGGGAAUUUCCCCGAGGAAAACACACUAAUCCUGCGUGGGACCACACCCAGCUCGUUCCACCCCUGUCCUGAGUGAGCAAGGCGCUUAGAGGCUUAGAGAAUGACAAGGGCACACGCAGACACACACACGUUGUCAGCCACAGGGUCUCACUCUAGCCCAGACUGACCUGGAGUUCACUAUAAUCUCAGGGUGGCAAUGAACUCACGGCGAUCCUCCUGCUCUGUGGGGGACUUAGUCACUUGGAGGGAACCACGGUGACACUCCACGUGCAGUUGAGGACUGCAUGACCCGCUGGCUGGGUAUCCCAAGACCUCAGCUCGUCCUUCUGGAAACAGCCUUCAGCGGGCAGACCUGCCCUCCGCCCCGUCUCCCCUGCGCUCGUCUCAAGCCUCCUCCCUCCCAGGGGAGCAGGUCCCGCGGUACCAUUGAAGAAUUUGAUGAUGUCAGUGAAGUCCAUGUUAUUCUCCAGGAUGAUGUCACGGUAGACCUCCACCAGCGCCAGCGCGAUGAACAGCACGUAGUGGGCAGAGGACACGUGCUUGGCUGCCCAGAUAGUCUCCCACACCGAGAAGACGUCAUCGUAGACGAGUUCUGCCGCGACACCAGCACGAG